AGUGAACGCUGGCGGUAGGCCUAACACAUGCAAGUCGAACGGCAGCACAGUAAGAGCUUGCUCUUACGGGUGGCGAGUGGCGGACGGGUGAGGAAUACAUCGGAAUCUACUUUUUCGUGGGUGAUAACGUAGGGAAACUUACGCUAAUACCGCAUACUACCUACGGGUGAAAGCAGGGGAUCUUCGCACCUUGCGCGAUUGAAUGAGCCGAUGUCGGAUUAGCUAGUUGGGGGGGUAAAGGCCCACCAAGGCGACGAUCCGUAGCUGGUCUGAGAGGAUGAUCAGCCACACUGGAACUGAGACACGGUCCAGACUCCUACGGGAGGCAGCAGUGGGGAAUAUUGGACAAUGGGCGCAAGCCUGAUCCAGCCAUACCGCGUGGGUGAAGAAGGCCUUCGGGUUGUAAAGCCCUUUUGUUGGGAAAGAAAAGCAGCAGGUUAAUACCCCGCUGUUCUGACGGUACCCAAAGAAUAAGCACCGGCUAACUUCGUG
rnacentral:rRNA from 1 species